CCUAUCUACCUAUCUACCUAUCUACCUAUCUACCUAUCUACCUAUCUACCUAUCUACCUAUCUACCUAUCUACCUAUCUACCUAUCUACCUAUCUACCUAUCUACCUAUCUACCUAUCUACCUACGAGGGAAGAAUCCAGAAGUGGAUCCAGAAGUGUUUAGCUGACAGAGCAGAGUGGAGAAGCUGUGGGUAAUCGGACUAAGGAAAGUGUUUAGCAGACAGAGCCGAGUGGAGAGCUGCUCUUCCCUGGACCGUUUCUCUCUUUUCCACCGAGAAAAGUGAAGCGGAACUUUAGUUGUCUGUGUUCUCUAGUGGACCUGCCAGGUAUUCUCUAGUGGACCUGCUAGUGGACCUGCCAGGUGUUCUCUAGUGGACCUGCCAGGUGUUCUCUAGUGGACCUGCCAGGUGUUCUCUAGUGGACCUGCCAGGUGUUCUCUAGUGGACCUGCCAGGUAUUCUCUAGUGGACCUGCCAGGUGUUCUCUAGUGGACCUGCCAGGUGUUCUCUAGUGGACCUGCCAGGUGUUCUCUAGUGGACCUGCCAGGUGUUCUCUAGUGGACCUGCUAGUGGACCUGCCAGGUGUUCUCUAGUGGACCUGCCAGGUGUUCUCUAGUGGACAUGCCAGGUGUUCUCUAGUGGACCUGCUAGUGGACCUGCCAGGUGUUCUCUAGUGGACCUGCCAGGUGUUCUCUAGUGGACCUGCCAGGUGUUCUCUAGUGGACCUGCCAGGUGUUCUCUAGUGGACCUGCCAGGUGUUCUCUAGUGGACCUGCUAAUGGACCUGCCAGGUGUUCUCUAGUGGACCUGCCAGGUGUUCUCUAGUGGACCUGCUAGUGGACCUGCCAGGUGUAACUAGUGGACCUGCCAGGUGUUCUCUAGUGGACCUGCUAGUGGACCUGCCAGGUGUAACUAGUGGACCUGCCAGGUGUUCUCUAGUGGACCUGCUAGUGGACCUGCCAGGCGUUCUCUAGUGGACCUGCUAGUGGACCUGCCAGGUGUUCUCUAGUGGACCUGCCAGGUGUUCUCUAGUGGACCUGCUAGUGGACCUGCCAGGUAUAACUAGUGGACCUGCCAGGUGUUCUCUAGUGGACCUGCCAUGUGUUACUAGUGGACCUGCCUCCAAGGUGCACGGACAGGAUUCUGCAUCGCUGCACAAGCCUGUAUGUCAUUGGUGUUAUGUUUUAAUUUAAUGUAUUUAUAUUCUUAUUAAAGUGUUGCUCAUUU